rnacentral:rRNA from 1 species
CANNGCUCAGAUUGAACGCUGGCGGCAGGCUUAACACAUGCAAGUCGAGCGGUAACGAUGGUAGCUUGCUACCAGGCGUCGAGCGGCGGACGGGUGAGUAAUGCUUAGGAAUCUGCCUAGUAGUGGGGGAUAGCCCGGGGAAACUCGGAUUAAUACCGCAUACGCCCUACGGGGGUAAGCAGGGGAUCUUCGGACCUUGCGCUAUUAGAUGAGCCUAAGUCGGAUUAGCUUGUUGGUGGGGUAAUGGCCUACCAAGGCGACGAUCCGUAGCUGGUCUGAGAGGAUGAUCAGCCACAUCGGGACUGAGACACGGCCCGAACUCCUACGGGAGGCAGCAGUGGGGAAUAUUGGACAAUGGGCGCAAGCUGGAUCCAGCCAUGCCGCGUGUGUCAAGAAGGCUUUCGGGUUGUGAAGCACUUUCAGCGAGGAGGAAAGCCUUAAGACUAAUACUCUGGAGGAAUGACGUCACUCGCAGAAGAAGCACCGGCUAACUCCGUGCCAGCAGCAGCGGUAAUACGGAGGGNGNAAACGUUAAUCGGAAUUUANAUACCCUGGUAGUCCACGCCCUAAACGAUGUCAACUAGCCGUUGGGGAUCUCGAAUCCUUAUUNGCGCAACUAACACACUAAAUUGACCGCCUGGGGAGUACGGUCGCAAGGUUAAAACUCAAAUGAAUUGACGGGGGCCCGCACAAGCGGUGGAGCAUGUGGUUCAAUUCGACGCAACGCGAAGAACCUUCCCUGGCCUUGACAUGCAGAGAACUUUCCAGAGAUGGAUCCGGUGCUUCGGGAACUCUGACACAGGUGCUGCAUGGCCGUCGUCAGCUCGUGUCGUGAGAUGUUGGGUUAAGUCCCGUAACGAGCGCAACCCCUAUCCCUAGUUGCUAGCAGGUAAUGCUGAGAACUCUAGGGAGACUGCCGGUGACAAACCGGAGGAAGGUGGGGAUGACGUCAGGUCAUCAUGGCCCUUACGGCCAGGGCUACACACGUGCUACAAUGGCGCGCACAGAGGGCUGCAAACCCGCGAGGGGGAGCCAAUCUCACAAAACGCGUCGUAGUCCGGAUCGGAGUCUGCAACUCGACUCCGUGAAGUCGGAAUCGCUAGUAAUCGUGAAUCAGAAUGUCACGGUGAAUACGUUCCCGGGCCUUGUACACACCGCCCGUCACACCAUGGGAGUGGAUUGCACCAGAAGUAGUUAGUCUAACUUCGGGACGG